rnacentral:rRNA from 1 species
GCAUAUCAAUAAAGCGGAGGAAAAGAAACUAACAAGGAUUCCCCCAGUAACUGCGAGUGAAGAGGGAUUAGCUCAAUGUGUGAAUUGGGAUGGGAUUAGCCCCCGUCUCGAGUUGUGCACUAUAGACGCCGGAUCAGCGCUUGAAGGAUCGAGGUGGAUGUCCGAUGAAACUCGGUGCCAUAGAGGGUCAUAGUCCUGUACUUGCCUUGUCAUCCUUUGCGCAUUUGACCGGUGUUCUGCGAGUCGCGUAGUUUUGUAUUGCUGCGCUAAGUGGGAGGUAGAGCCCUUCUAAAGCUAAAUAUGGCGACGUGACCGAUAGCACACAAGUACCGCGAGGGAAAGGUGAAAAGCAACCAUGCAGAAUGGGUUGAAACAGCAGUGAAAGCGCUACUGGGAUAAGGGCUGGGGAUUGCUUGUGUCGCUUGCGCGUGCUUUAGUGCUGUGCUUGCGAACGGCGUGCUUCCAUUCGGAUGGGGAGAACAGGGCCUCGGGAAUUCAGCUGGAUCCGUCCAGUGUUGCAGCCCGGGUGCCAGUGGAGCCUCUCCGGAUGUUUGAGCGUCUUGCGAUUGUCAGCCGCCCGUCUUGAAACACGGACCAAGGAGUGCACCUUGCAUGCGAGUCGAAGGGACUGUAAUCCUGGAGGCGUAGCGAAAGCGAAGGCCACGAACCCUCACGGCGUCGGUGGCACCCGCCCUGUGCGAGGUAGAGCAUGUAGGGUGCGACCCGAAAGAUGGUGAACUAUGCCCGGGUAAGGUGAAGACCAGUGGAAACGCUGGUGGAGGCCUGUAGCGGUUCUGACGNGCAGAUCGAUCGUGUAACCCUGGGUAUAGGGGCGAAAGA